UUUAUAUACAUACUCCAUUAAAGGCGAUCAUCUCUUUGCUGAUUGAUUGAUCCGCGAGCUAUUUAACCGGGUAAGCAGCAUUUUCUUUUCCUCUCUCUCUCUUUCGUUGCGUAGAUAAUCACUCUCGACGAUCAUUCUCUCUUGUGCAUAUAGUUUUUCCGCUCCAGCGCGACGUUGACAGAGACGAGACGAAAGGAAGGAUUGGCACACACUACUCGAAGGUGGAUUAUUCCAUCUAUAAGUAGUGUGGGCUUAUUCCUCUCUGGAGUUCUCGAUGACAAGCUCGCGAAAAAGAAGAAGAAGAAGAAGAAGAAGAAGAAAAAUGUGUCGGCUGAGCAUGACAGAUCCAAGCGAUUGAUGUAAACACCGGCCCCUUUGAUUACAAGCAAGGCAAUUGCGGGGGCGAGCAGGAGAUUCGUUGCGAAGAUGCUACAAGAAGAAUAGGAUGUUCUAGAAUACACAUAGAUUGAUCAAAACUGGAGAAGCUUAAUUGUUUGUUUGCAUUCGCGC
rnacentral:lncRNA from 1 species